GCUUUGGUGGCCUAGUGGUUAGAUUGUCUGCCUUGGAUGUGGGAGGUCAAGGGUUCAAUUCCCCGUUGAGUCA